rnacentral:rRNA from 1 species
AGAACGAACGCUGGCGGCACGCCUAACACAUGCAAGUCGAGCGCCCAGCAAUGGGAGCGGCGGACGGGUGAGUAACACGUGGGAACAUGCCUUUCGGUACGGAACAACUGCGGGAAACUGCAGCUAAUGCCGUAUACGCCCUUACGGGGAAAGAUUUAUCGCCGAAAGAUUGGCCCGCGUCUGAUUAGCUAGUUGGUGAGGUAACGGCUCACCAAGGCUUCGAUCAGUAGCUGGUUUGAGAGAACGACCAGCCACAUUGGGACUGAGACACGGCCCAAACUCCUACGGGAGGCAGCAGUGGGGAAUCUUGGACAAUGGGGGAAACCCUGAUCCAGCGAUGCCGCGUGAGUGAUGAAGGCCUUCGGGUUGUAAACUCUUUCGACGGGGACGAUAAUGACGGUACCCGUAGAAGAAGCUCCGGCUAACUUCGUGCCAGCAGCCGC